GGUGGCCGGUGUGCGCGGUGUCCAUCCGUGUUCAGCGCCGCCGUCCGUCUGUGUCUUACAGUCUGGACAGCGGUGCUCACGCCACACCCACAGCCACAGAGACACUGGAGAUCAUAGUACUGGUCCAGUGAUGUCUUACAGACUGCUCACCACUGACCAGCCUCCAAACUCUCCUACAAGC